rnacentral:rRNA from 1 species
CCAAUUUAGUAAGACCCCUUGAAGACGACGAGGUAGAUAGGUUCGAGGUGGAAGCGCAGCAAUGCGUGGAGCUGACGAAUACUAAUCGGUCGAGGGCUUAUCCA